GACGAACGCUGGCGGCGUGCUUAACACAUGCAAGUCGAACGGAAAGGCCCUGCUUUUGUGGGGUGCUCGAGUGGCGAACGGGUGAGUAACACGUGAGUAACCUGCCCUUGACUUUGGGAUAACUUCAGGAAACUGGGGCUAUUACCGGAUAGGAGCUCCUGCUGCAUGGUGGUGGUUGGAAAGUUUCGGUGGUUGGGGAUGGACUCGCGGCUUAUCAGCUUGUUGGUGGGGUAGUGGCUUACCAAGGCUUUGACGGGUAGCCGGCCUGAGAGGGUGACCGGCCACAUUGGGACUGAGAUACGGCCCAGACUCCUACGGGAGGCAGCAGUGGAGAAUAUUGCACAAUGGGCGGAAGCCUGAUGCAGCAGCGCCGCGUGCGGGAUGACGGCCUUCGGGUUGUAAACCGCUUUCGCCUGUGACGAAGCGUGAGUGACGGUAAUGGGUAAAGAAGCACCGGCUAACUACGUG
rnacentral:rRNA from 1 species